AGCACAUCGGACGCUGCAGUUGGUCGCCAUUUGCAGUUGAAAAAUUAACAGGAGAAGAAGAAGAAGAUGAAGAAGGAGGAGGAGGAGGAGGCGGUGUUGAGGCAUGGCCGUUGGGCAAGGCAGCAGCAGCAGCUCAACGCAGAGCCGGUUGAACAGAUCCACCACUGCACGUCCUCCUCUGCCGGAGAUCCAACCUGCCCGUCGCUGUGAAUCUCCCUGAGGUCCCACCACUCACAUGUCGUCUGGUUCCCCGGCAGUGCAGCUGCCUAAAUGAGAGGGAUUAAGUUAACUCCCUGCUUAGAGGAAGAGCAGGCCCUGGAUUAGGGCACUGGGCAUGGACACAGAGAGCAUUCAAGCAAGAGCCACAGCUUUUUAAAAAAGAGACGUGGGGGAGAGAGGAGGCAGCGGUGCACAGCCCUCACUGGGACCGACGGCCGAGUCGCUUGAACAACUACAUUGACAAGUGUAACGUCGGGCCCGCAACAUGGAAAAGUGUGUCGGAGCAGGGAGGGAGAACACUGGCGGACACGCCGACAAUAACAAAUGCAUUUUUUUUUUUUUUUCCCUUUCCAUCUCCAACUUUCAACCCACUCCCACCCCUCAAUCUUGUUCUCUCAUAACAUCAAACACUGUUUUUUCAAAAAAUAAAAGAAAUGUCUUCUCUCCACGUAGAGCUUGGCAAUAAAGGAUGAUAUUGAAACCAA